CCUACGGGCGGCAGCAGUGAGGAAUAUUGGUCAAUGGGCGCGAGCCUGAACCAGCCAAGUCGCGUGAGGGAGGACGGCCCUACGGGUUGUAAACCUCUUUUGCCGGGGAGCAAAGGGCGCCACGUGUGGCGUUUUGCGAGUACCUGAAGAAAAAGCAUCGGCUAACUCCGUGCCAGCAGCCGCGGUAAUACGGAGGAUGCGAGCGUUAUCCGGAUUUAUUGGGUUUAAAGGGUGCGCAGGCGGAAUGUCAAGUCAGCGGUAAAAUUUCGGGGCUCAACCCCGUCGUGCCGUUGAAACUGGCGUUCUUGAGUGAGCGAGAAGUAUGCGGAAUGCGUGGUGUAGCGGUGAAAUGCAUAGAUAUCACGCAGAACUCCGAUUGCGAAGGCAGCAUACCGGCGCUCAACUGACGCUCAUGCACGAAAGCGUGGGUAUCGAACAGGAUUAGAUACCCCAGUAGUC
rnacentral:rRNA from 1 species